rnacentral:rRNA from 1 species
UACGAAGGGGGCUAGCGUUGCUCGGAAUGACUGGGCGUAAAGGGCGCGUAGGCGGUUUGUACAGUCAGAUGUGAAAUUCCCGGGCUCAACCUGGGGGCUGCAUUUGAUACGUGCGGACUUGAGUGGGGAAGAGGGUCGUGGAAUUCCCAGUGUAGAGGUGAAAUUCGUAGAUAUUGGCUGGAACACCGAUGGCGAAGGCAGCCCCCCCUGGGCUGACACUGACG